CCUACGGGUGGCUGCAGUGGGGAAUAUUGGACAAUGGGGGGAACCCUGAUCCAGCCAUGCCGCGUGUGUGAAGAAGGCCCUCGGGUUGUAAAGCACUUUCAGUGAGGAAGAACGCCUGGUGGUUAAUACCCAUCAGGAAAGACAUCACUCACAGAAGAAGCACCGGCUAACUCCGUGCCAGCAGCCGCGGUAAUACGGAGGGUGCGAGCGUUAAUCGGAAUUACUGGGCGUAAAGCGCGCGUAGGUGGCUUGAUAAGCCGGUUGUGAAAGCCCCGGGCUCAACCUGGGAACGGCAUCCGGAACUGUCAAGCUAGAGUGCAGGAGAGGAAGGUAGAAUUCCCGGUGUAGCGGUGAAAUGCGUAGAGAUCGGGAGGAAUACCAGUGGCGAAGGCGGCCUUCUGGACUGACACUGACACUGAGGUGCGAAAGCGUGGGUAGCAAACAGGCUUAGCUACCCUAGUAGUC
rnacentral:rRNA from 1 species